AACAGCCACAUAAUUGCCGGUGUGAAACUUUUCCAUAAGUCGACCUCAGUUGCCGUUUGGAAAUGUCGGCAGAACUAUGAUGAUAUGGUGUUGGUCGAUAAGACCAGCUGGCUGGCAAGGAAUGAUAUAUUACCAUGAACGUUUUGCGGACCUUUGAUGUCGUUUUUGGCACGAGUCCUCCAAGUUUGAUUCGCUCACUGGGUCGGAGGGAUUCAAUAUAAAUGAAAAAGCCUGGACUGUUGAAGAGCGGAAGCUCAUCAUAGAGACCUGGGGCAAAAUCAAGGUCAAAGUGUUCGGACCCCUUGCUUUGAGAUGGUCGGCUUAUAAUAUUGCAAGGAGAUAAAAUAUAUUGAUAAUUUAUCAUUUUACCUUUCUAGUCUUGUCUUAUAUGUGUGCGCAAUUCAUUUAAUUAAAUUGAUUAGUUUAUAUUAUGUCUGUUAUAAUGUAAUUUGUAUUUUCCAUGUGUCUUAUUGUAUAUCCAUGGACUCAGAGGUACUUUGGAACCUUUGGAGACUUAAACAGCGCAGUGGCUAUCAUGGGCAAUAAAAAAGUUGUCAACCAUGGCAUCACCGUGCAGAACGGCCUCGUGUGAGCUGUGCAGCAUAUGGAUGACGUCAAUAACACCUACGUCGAGCUGAGCGUUCUGCACUCUGAGAGACUUCAUGUGGAUCCCGACAACUUCAGGAUGGGGCGCGGCUUCAUGCCGGACGUCCAAGCGGCCUGGCAGAAGUUCCUGACCGUGGUCGUCUCUGCGCUGGGCAGACAGUACUACUAAAGACAUGUUCUAUUAUAGAAGACAGUUUGUAUGAAUAAUACAAUAUAUUGUUAAGCACA